UACGUAGGUCCCGAGCGUUGUUCGGAUUCACUGGGCGUAAAGGGUGCGUAGGUGGCGAGGUAAGUCUGAUGUGAAAUCCCGCAGCUCAACUGCGGAACUGCAUCGGAUACUAUUUUGCUAGAGGGUUUGAGGGGGGACUGGAAUUCUCGGUGUAGCAGUGAAAUGCGUAGAUAUCGAGAGGAACACCAGUGGCGAAGGCGAGUCCCUGGAAAACUCCUGACACUGAGGCACGAAAGCUAGGGGAGCAAACAGG
rnacentral:rRNA from 1 species